UUAUAUUUACCGAAACCUUAUCCCCUUAAGAUUCAACGCGUCUCUUCCUCAUCGCGACUACCUCGUCGUACUAAUCCGGAUUUAUCUCGAACUGAAACAUGGUUGCGGUACUCUUAUCGAGAGAAUCGAUUGCUCCGUUUCGACCUCCGAUGUCUUCGCCUCUCGUGCCAAGUUAAUCGAGUCUUAUUGUUACGCUCUCCGUGUCUUAAAUUGAAUCCUCUAUCGGAAUCUUACAGGCUAUAAAUGUCUACAUAGUUUACAAGGUUUUAGAACCAGAAUCUUUCCAAUCGAAGAAAAUGGAAUGGACUAUCGAUAUCGACGUGGAUAACUGCGACAACAAUGAGUUAUUACAUCGAUAAUUGUUUGGAAUAAGAAUCACUUAGUUGAUUUUGGUAUUUUUGAAAUAUCUUAUCAAGAUUUCCAUUAUAAAUAAUUUCUUUCUUUCUAAAUAUAACUGAUAUUUUUUAUGUUUCAGCGAUGUUUAGAAUAAUUUACGAUGGAUUAGAUUUAGGUUAGGUUCGCAUUACGUCACGUCUAAAAUUAAACAAAUUUGAAUUCAAUACAUAUUUAUUUGUGUAUCGAAACUUAACUAAAAUUAAUCCAAUAUUGAUCUAGAUUUAUCGCAACGUAUAUCUUACUUAUCCCUGAAGGAUGUUCAAUUUAUCUAACCUCAUCAUCUUCGAAAUAAUUUUAUCUACUGCACAUACGUCGUUAAGCAAUCCUUGAUCAGAACGUCAGAUUCGCAAGUUCCCUUUUAAUAAUAUAGAUAGAACGAAGAGAUAGUUCAACGAUAGUUUCAACGAGUUAACCACGCACACACGCGGCGAUGGUAAAGACGAUCUAAAAUAACCGUAGAUUACUCGAGCCUUCCCCGAUAACAAACGAUCAGAAUCCCGAGGACGCGACAGGGGGAGCCAGUUGGCAGGCCGAGCGCAAAUUAAGUAAUUUCAUCGUGGCUGAAGUGUUACUCGAACCGGUGAAUGGAAAUGGAUGAGGACAUUAUCGAUCGAGCAAUCUUGCGGCCGUUCGUUAUUUCGUGUCCGGCUUAUGGCCGUUCGGGAACUGAAUGCAUCCAAUCACAAGUAAAUAUAUUUCUAUGACGAUCUAGCGGUCCCAUUUAGACAUCUUUGUUCGUUUAAUUGGUCGUGGCGGCUUGGAUGCCACGUAUACCGAGCCGCUCCUCUCGUAACGAUGAAUGCGCGCACACGGCUCCCCUCCCCUCGUCUUCCAUUCCUAGGAUCCGAUUAAUUCCUACCAUCGGCCGAUAAUUUAUGGCUGGCCAUGCGUUACGCUCUCCACCUUCCUCCCUGCUCGUUUCACGGCAAAACCUCUUCGUAUCUGUCACACCUUCCUCUAAUUGCCGUGAACACGCGAGAAUCUAAGGCAGCGAGCGGCGGCUUCUCUACCUUCUCUUCACUCCGUGGCUCUCCGUUUCGAGGAAUCGGAUUCUCGAGGAAAACUGGCUCGUCGACUUCUCCGUUCUUGCCAUAAAUGAUCGGAAUUCACGCCGGAAAAAUAUUUUUUGCCGGAUAGAAAAAACGACUCGGAUGACAAAGUGAUCGAUCGAAGUUGGUCGCGCGAUUAAUUUCAUGAUUAUGACAUUUAUUGCUAGUUUUUUAUUUAUUCGGCAAAAUUAUAGGUUAAUGGCCGCCUGUGAAAGCGUUAUCGAUCUUAUAACUUAACAUUAUUCGAUUAAAAAUUUAGCUAUUUAAUUUUUAUAUUAACGUUAUUUUUAUUUCCAGGAAAUGAAACAAAAAUCUUUAAAAAUUUUAUCCGUUUCCAGGAAUAUCUAUUGUGCAGGAAUCUCUUGCAUUUUUGCAGGAAUGGCAUUGGAUUGUUGAUCAUUUUGUAGAGUUACAAAAAAAAAAAAACUGAAAUUCAAUUUUGCCAGUUCUAUUAAUAUUACGGAUCGAAGUAUAUGGUUCCUUCGAAAUAUAUUACACGACGUCCCAGGAGAGAGAGGAUGCUUUUGUUUCGAGAGUUACGUGAGUCGAUAUCAAGGGACAACCUCAAUCAUUGUUAUACUCGUAUAUGCCAUCGGUAACAAGUUUCAUCUGCUAAAACUUGUGCGGAAAAUAUAUAGGAGGAAUCGAUCGAUCGUCGAUAUUUCGAAAUAAGCUCCUGCACUAUCCUCAUUUCGAAGCCCAAGAUAUCUUUAUAUCUAUAUAGACAAAAACACCUAUAAAUUUAUCACGAUUUAAAUAGUAAUCAACACCACUAUCAUAAAAUUUACACGCGAGAAUAAAAUUUCUCUAUCGACUCGUCUGUCGUUCGAAUCGGGAUAGAAGACAGGAAGGCAGGCAGGCAGGCCAAAGGAGCAAAGGUGGGAUUAGCAUAACGCGCGGAACCGGCGAUCUGACUGGCGUUCAGCUCGAUUGUGGUUAGUUAAUGGUCGCCGAGUAGUCGUUAUUCUCGGCCGGCAAUACGCCGUGUAAGUCUCUACCUUGUGCGUGCAAUCUAGCGGCAUGAUCCGCGUAUAUAAAUUAUUAUUGUCCGGCCAACGAGGUGUAUCGAUGGGCGGUCGCAGCGCUGUCGCUUGUCGACGCCCAUGCUCGCAGUUCGCGAGAUCGCGAGGCCACGCUUAAACGCCUUUUCCGCCUUUUGCGCGUUUGAGAAAGAGUUGGCCUAAACUAACCUACAAAAAUUAAUCGGAUAAAAUUUCGUAUAAAGUUACUUAAGUUAAUAAUGAAUGGACCUCGUUUAAAUGAAAAAGAAGAUAUAUCUUUACGAAGAAAGAAAAAGAAAUAGUUACUUUCUUUAUUUUUAAAAAUAUAUUACUUACUUAUUUUUCCAUAUAAUUCAUUAUCUGCGACACAUAUAAUAUAUCUUCGCUUCCCUAGUUUUUGUAAUCCGUGAAAAAUCAAUUUCUCUGGAAUUCAUUCAGACUGAUCUAAGAGAUUUUCCUGUUUUUGAAAUUAAAUGAAAAGUAAACAUUUUAGCUGUAGUGAAAAAAUGAUUUUUUUUUUGUGAAUAGAUAAUUACAGUAAAGGUGAAGAAGAAAAUAAUUUUAAAAAUAAAGAAUAAAGAUUUCUUUUUAUCGUUGUUUCAUAAAGAUAUGUAUUUUUUUUUUUAUUUAAGUAAAAUCUUUGUUUAUAACUCCAUUCAUUCAUCGCUAUUUAUUUAUUCGAUGCUUAAGUAAUAAAUUAUUCAAGUAAUUUACCGAAGUAACAUUAUUCUCUUUAACUUCAACCGUUAAAUAAAAUUUUGCUUAUCUCUGCUUGUUAAAGUGUCUCGCGGUCCACGCCUAACUUCUAUUAACGGUUGAAUUUGGUUGAUAAGCAUGAUCGAUAACGCUUUGCACGUAGUAACGACUGCUGAAGAGUGAUGAUCAAAGUUGAAUUUGCCUCGAGAAUAGUCGCUUUGAUUAUAUCUCUCUAUUGAAUACAAUGAGGAAUUGAUUGUCGAUGCUCUUUUUUUCCUGCGCUGUUUGUUUGUGUAUAAUUCAGUGAAAUUAAACAAUCAAGUAUGUCGUACAAUUUAUACAUAAAUCAUAGAAUUCUUAACAAUAUUCUUACAAAAUGUUUUAAUGUGAUAUAGACUGCGUUUGAAUAUUAACAAUAACAAUUGUAUGUAAUAUUAUUAAAAAAUACUAUUGAGAUAUUAUAGUAAUCCAAUAUACAAAUAUUAAAAUUAAUCUGCUUUAACAAUUGUAUAUAAAAUUAUUGAAAAAUACAAUAAUUGUUAUCAAGAUGGAAAAAUAUAUAAUUCACGAAUAUUAAAAUUAAUCUGUUUUAAAAAUAACAAUUGUAAUAUUAUCGAAAAAUACGAAUAUGAUAAUUGUUAAUAUGAAAAUGAAAAAAUAUUAAAAUUGAAAUUUUUCCAAGUAA